UCUAAAAAUUUUAUAAAAAAAUUGCUUAAAAUAUUAAAAAAAUCCAAUAAAAAUAAAAAAUACGAAAAAUAAGAAAGUAAAAUUUCCUGAAAAGUAUUUUUAGAAAACUCAAACUAAGCAAAGUGAAUAAUAAUUGUGCCAAGCAGCGGUUUUGUUUAUCUUAUCUUAACGUUCCUCAAAAGAAAAAAAAAAAAAAAAAUCUAGAGUGAUAGGAUUUGUAUUGUAUAUAUAUCAAUUUCAUAUUCUUCAAAAGACAAAAAAAUAAAAAGUUGUGGUGGUCCACUACUUGGUGAAAAUUGUUAGUUUUACCUUUGGGUAGUCGACCGAGUGAUCGAUCAUUUGAUAAAAAAAAUAAUAAAAUAAUGUAUAACUUGUGAACUAGUAUUGUUACAUCAAGCGACAUAUAGCAAUCACAAAUUUUGCAAAUACAUAGUAAGGCUGAUGGAGGCUCUUGAAAGUUCAUUUGCUUGCUUUUGCUGUAUAUUUUGGUCAGAAAUGAGUUUGACGAGAUUAGUGUAGAUGCUCUUCUCAUUAUUGUUUCUCUAUUUUUUGACAAAAAGUAUUUGAGGCGACUAAAAUUCUCCUGUAAUUUGACAUACAAUAAUAUAACAUAAUAUGUGUCAAUUUUUUAUAGAGACUUAAUUAUAUAGGGUUCGCUUGGGAUGUGGAUUGAUUUUUUGGCUAUUUUAGCCUAGAGCUAAAAAGCUUGGUUUAGGAUAGGUUUUUUUUUACUUUUUUGACUUUUUGGUGAGGUAUCCACAUAUGAAAUUACCCAAAUGCCAUUAGGGUGAAGGUGUUCCCCCAACCUGUUGGCCAGUGCUGGGCGGGUGGGUUGAGGCUGACACGUCAGCCGAUUAAUUUGGUUUUUAUUUACUUAUUUGUUUAGCAUGCUUUUUUAUGUUUUUUUUUUAAUUACGGGAAAGCGAUAAUUUCGGCAUUUUUAAAAAAAGAAAAAGAAAAAGGCAAACAUCUCAAAAUAUUUAUGUCAACGAUUGUAACCGUUUGUUGGAACAUUUUUAUUUUUAUUUUUUUUUGGUUAAAAUUUUUUGUAAAAAUAAUUUGGAAAAUUACUUUUUCUCUCAUUUACCCAAUUUGUUAAACAAAAAAUGGUACAAAUCAUACUCCUACCUUUUACCCAAAAUUCAGUUGACGGCCACAUAUUACGUGCCCAUUUUAAUUUUUUUACUGUUUUUAAUUUUUCUGUUACAUUCGUCAAAUCAUAAUACUGCGGUUUGCCAUUGUGCUAUCCUGUUUAAUUAUUACUAAUACGUAACAAAAUUUGUCCUUCUCUAACCCAAUAAUUUUACAAAAUAAGGCACGUAAAUCAUUCAAAUUUCAAUUUUUUGUGUACACACAUACAUAUUUGUAUAGGAUAAUAUAAUCACAUAUAUCCCAACCGUGGCUUAAUAAUGUUACAAGCAUACGAAUAUUUUAGUUGAAUAUUAUAUGUUUCCUAGCAUUCCGUUAUUACGCAUGUACACUAACUUGUCUCGUAUGCGAACUCGCACUAAUGCCAUAUGCGGGUUCUCAUCCCCAACCAUUAAACCAUCAUCGUCAUGUGGAACUUUUGGUAUGGCAUUUACUAUUGCCAUAGCCUCUUCCUCGUUAAAGAUGGGAUUAAUAGUUGUUGGAUUGCCUGUAUUUCUACGUACAUAAUUAUGUAAUGCCAUUGACGUACCUACCAACUAAACUUGCAAAUUUGCAAAAUCAUACCGAGGCAUAUUUUGAAUAAACCCCCCAUCAAUUUGUCCAUGCGCCGAAAGUGCAUUCCACUACAUUCCGUAACGACGAGUGCACUUUGUUAAAUAAUUCCCUGGGGGUGUUUGUUGUCCUAUGUCUUUCAGUAACGCGGAAUUCUUAUUGGUGGUAACGGCUGCCUUUGAAUGGUGCUAGGUAACCUAUCCAGUUCGGAUAACUGCCAUCAACAAGAUAAUAUUUUCCUCUAGAAAGUACCAGAAUUUCAAACAAACCACCAAGUUUUGUUUAAUUUUUUGUAAAGAUGUUUUCCUAAAUAUUAUGUACUGAAAAAAUUGAAAUGCAAUGUGUUACCUUCUUCAGGAUGUGAAAAAGGGACAUUGUCAUUUGUUAUUCUCUCAUUAAAGAUGCGACUAUCGUGUAUACUUCCUUUCCAUCCAAGCGAUACAAAGGUGAAACACAUGUCAAAAUUGCACGCGACAAUGAUAUUUUGGGUGUGACAGUGUUUCUUACCAAAAUAUGUUGGGGCAUCUAGCCCCGUAACCCGCGCAGUAACAUGUGUUCCAUCAAUGGCUCCGAUACAGUCUUGCCAACAACUCAGUUAUCUUACUACUAGGGGUACAUGUAAUUAUUUUUCACACGUCACGUCAAAAUAAUUUCUAAACAUUGAAACAAACUUAACUGAGUGAGGUUUAAAAAUAGUACCUUGAAAGGAAGGUAUUUCCGUUUGGACCGCACAUAUGGAUGUAUAUGAUGCUGACUAUAUGUUGGCCUACAAUGUGUAACAAUGAACUCCUUCAUCACCGCUAAUACAUUAUGCACGUGUCAGGACACAGUCUCCCUCGAAUGUUGGAACCGUUCUUGGAUUUCGCUAUUAUGAAAUCCUCUCAACACGUGGAUAAACAUUGCAACACUUUCUUGAACAACUAAUCCAUGUUCACGUUGCAGUACUUGUAACCCGAAAUCAGUUACUAACGUAUGACACAAAGACGCAAAAACUUUCUUCGGCAUGCACAUAUUUUCCUCAAAUCGACCUACAUGGCCCUUAUAUAGUUCAGUUACCCAUGCAUGUCAGGUCAAAAUAGAAGUGCGACAUGGCGUUUUACACGUGUUUUUCAUACCACUCUUGGACAUACCAGCAUGCUUGGAGGAAUGUCCAGUUAUUUUGUUGUUGAAGCCGUAUGGCCAUUUGGUUAAGCAUUUCCAUUCCACCGUUAUAGUUGCUUCCAUUCCCGGUGUUCAUCACGUUGAUUUAAGCAACACUUACAAAAUAGACUAAAUUAGCCACAAGAGACAAAACACAUUCACGUGCUGGGAAACAAUUCAGCGUCGGUGGAAUUUACCAAACUACCCCCCAGUGCCUCUGUAUCACACCAGCACCACUUCAAACCACACAACACUCUAUCACCUAUGGCACCGACAGACGCCGAAGGAAGGAGGCAAAAACAUGACGCUGAAUGGCGAAGAAGAAUAGCAAAACUCUCUAUAGCCCAAGGCCACUGGAGUGCACAUUGGCGGCAACACUGCGUCCAUCGCAUCCUCAACACCACCGAUCGUUAGAUGUUACUUAAAUCGACAUGAUGAAUACCGGGGAUGGAAGCGACAAUGACGGUGUAAUGGAAAUGCUUAACCAAAUGGCCAUACAACUUCAACAACAAAAUAACUGGACAUUCUCCAAGUAUGCCGGUAUGUCCAAGAGUGGUACAAAAAAUACAUGUGUAAGAUGCCAUAUCGCACUUCUAUUUUAACCGGACAUGCAUGGAUAACGGAAAUAUAUGCGGACCAUGUGGGUCGAUUUGAGGAAAAUGUGUGCAUGCUGAAGGAAGUUUUUUCGUCUUUGUGUCACACAUUAGUAACUAAUUUCGGGUUACAAGUAUCGCAAUGUAAACAUGGCUUAGCUAUUCAACAAAGCGUUGCAAUGUUUAUCCACGUGUUGAGAGGAUUUCAUAAUAGCGAAAUCCAAGAAU